rnacentral:lncRNA from 1 species
CCGAUACCUCCUCCUUCCGUGGCCCCGCCGACUGCUGAAGCACCGCCGACUACUGAAGCACCACCUGACCAAUGAAUGCUAUUAGUUCACACAUCAUUGUAAAAUAUUUUUAAGUUAAUGUUUUUUUUUUUUUUUUGUUUUUUUUGUUGUUUUAAAUUAUAUGUAAAUUAAUGUAGAAAGACUUUGGUUAACCUUCCCCCCACACUUAAACUAAAUAACACAAACUUACAGAAAUUAACCAAAUAACACAACUAACUAAACAAAACAAAAUGAAAGCAGUAAAGAUAAGGGUGUAAGAAUUCAAAUCUGA